CCUACGGGGGGCAGCAGUGGGGAAUAUUGGACAAUGGGCGCAAGCCUGAUCCAGCAAUGCCGCGUGGGUGAAGAAGGUCUUCGGAUUGUAAAGCCCUUUCGGCGGGGACGAUGAUGACGGUACCCGCAGAAGAAGCCCCGGCUAACUUCGUGCCAGCAGCCGCGGUAAUACGAAGGGGGCUAGCGUUGCUCGGAAUGACUGGGCGUAAAGGGCGCGUAGGCGGCGGACAUAGUCAGGCGUGAAAUUCCUGGGCUUAACCUGGGGGCUGCGCUUGAUACGUGUGUGCUAGAGGAUGGAAGAGGCUCGUGGAAUUCCCAGUGUAGAGGUGAAAUUCGUAGAUAUUGGGAAGAACACCGGUGGCGAAGGCGGCGAGCUGGUCCAUUUCUGACGCUGAGGCGCGACAGCGUGGGGAGCAAACAGGAUUAGAUACCCGUGUAGUC
rnacentral:rRNA from 1 species